CGGCGAGUGGCGAACGGGUGAGUAAUAUAUCGGAACGUGCCCAGUAGUGGGGGAUAGCCCGGCGAAAGCCGGAUUAAUACCGCAUACGACCUACGGGUGAAAGGGGGGAUCGCAAGACCUCUCGCUAUUGGAGCGGCCGAUAUCAGAUUAGGUAGUUGGUGGGGUAAAGGCCUACCAAGCCUGCGAUCUGUAGUUGGUCUGAGAGGACGACCAGCCACACUGGGACUGAGACACGGCCCAG
rnacentral:rRNA from 1 species